rnacentral:rRNA from 1 species
CGCCAGACUCCUACGGGAGGCAGCAGUGGGGGAUAUUGCACAAUGGGGGGAACCCUGAUGCAGCGACGCCGCGUGGGUGAAGGAGCGUUUCGGCGCGUAAAGCCCUAUCGGCAGGGAAGAAGGAGGACGGUACCUGACUAAGAAGCCCCGGCUAACUACGUGCCAGCAGCCGCGGUAAUACGUAGGGGGCAAGCGUUAUCCGGAUUUACUGGGUGUAAAGGGAGCGUAGACGGCAGUGCAAGUCCGGAGUGAAAGCCCGGGGCUCAACCCUGGGACUGCUCUGGAAACUGUAAAGCUGGAGUAUGGGAGGGGUAAGCGGAAUUCCUGGUGUAGCGGUGAAAUGCGUAGAUAUCAGGAGGAACACCGGUGGCGAAGGCGGCUUACUGGACCGAAACUGACGUUGAGGCUCGAAAGCGUGGGGAGCAAACAGGAUUAGAUACCCGUGUA